CGGCGGUCCAGCCCACUUGCGCUCGGACCUAGCGCUCGGCAUGGCGUGAGGGGCCGGUCCCUGCCCCGAUAAGUAUGCAGGAGCCGAGCCGGUCGCCGAGGAUGUGUAGUGCUUACCUUUGGCUGCUUCUGGGUCCAGACAGGUUGUAAUUGAACAGCAAUAACAAAGAAGAGGCAAAACAUCACAGCAGUGAAUUCCUCAUGGCAGAUACCAGAAAAAGUGAGCUAUGAAGCAAAGGUCAGAGGGUCCCAUACCAACAAUAAUGGAUGGCAUAAUUUUCAAAGAUG